GAUGAACGCUAGCUACAGGCUUAACACAUGCAAGUCGAGGGGCAGCAGGGAUUUAGCUUGCUAAAUCCGCUGGCGACCGGCGCACGGGUGCGUAACGCGUAUCCAACUUUCCCGUUACUCAGGGAUAGCCUUCCGAAAGGGAGAUUAAUACCUGAUGGUGUUUGAAAUUCGCAUGUUCUUCAAACUAAAGAUUUAUCGGUAACGGAUAGGGAUGCGUGACAUUAGAUAGUAGGCGGGGUAACGGCCCACCUAGUCUACGAUGUCUAGGGGUUCUGAGAGGAAGGUCCCCCACACUGGAACUGAGACACGGUCCAGACUCCUACGGGAGGCAGCAGUGAGGAAUAUUGGUCAAUGGUCGGAAGACUGAACCAGCCAAGUAGCGUGAAGGAUGAAGGUUCUAUGGAUUGUAAACUUCUUUUGUCUGAGGGUAAAAAAGCGGACGUGUCCGUUCUUGCAAGUAUCAGACGAAUAAGCAUCGGCUAACUCCGUG
rnacentral:rRNA from 1 species